UUUAUAUGAGAGUUUGAUCCUGGCUCAGGAUGAACGCCGGCGGUGUGCCUAAUACAUGCAAGUCGAACGCGUUGGCCCAAUUGAUUGACGGUGCUUGCAUCUGAUUGAUUUUGGUCGCCAACGAGUGGCGGACGGGUGAGUAACACGUAGGUAACCUGCCCAGAAGCGGGGGACAACAUUUGGAAACAGAUGCUAAUACCGCAUAACAGCGUUGUUCGCAUGAACAACGCUUAAAAGAUGGCUUCUCGCUAUCACUUCUGGAUGGACCUGCGGUGCAUUAGCUUGUUGGUGGGGUAACGGCCUACCAAGGCGAUGAUGCAUAGCCGAGUUGAGAGACUGAUCGGCCACAAUGGGACUGAGACACGGCCCAUACUCCUACGGGAGGCAGCAGUAGGGAAUCUUCCACAAUGGGCGCAAGCCUGAUGGAGCAACACCGCGUGAGUGAAGAAGGGUUUCGGCUCGUAAAGCUCUGUUGUUAAAGAAGAACACGUAUGAGAGUAACUGUUCAUACGUUGACGGUAUUUAACCAGAAAGUCACGGCUAACUACGUGCCAGCAGCCGCGGUAAUACGUAGGUGGCAAGCGUUAUCCGGAUUUAUUGGGCGUAAAGAGAGUGCAGGCGGUUUUCUAAGUCUGAUGUGAAAGCCUUCGGCUUAACCGGAGAAGUGCAUCGGAAACUGGAUAACUUGAGUGCAGAAGAGGGUAGUGGAACUCCAUGUGUAGCGGUGGAAUGCGUAGAUAUAUGGAAGAACACCAGUGGCGAAGGCGGCUACCUGGUCUGCAACUGACGCUGAGACUCGAAAGCAUGGGUAGCGAACAGGAUUAGAUACCCUGGUAGUCCAUGCCGUAAACGAUGAGUGCUAGGUGUUGGAGGGUUUCCGCCCUUCAGUGCCGGAGCUAACGCAUUAAGCACUCCGCCUGGGGAGUACGACCGCAAGGUUGAAACUCAAAGGAAUUGACGGGGGCCCGCACAAGCGGUGGAGCAUGUGGUUUAAUUCGAAGCUACGCGAAGAACCUUACCAGGUCUUGACAUCUUGCGCCAACCCUAGAGAUAGGGCGUUUCCUUCGGGAACGCAAUGACAGGUGGUGCAUGGUCGUCGUCAGCUCGUGUCGUGAGAUGUUGGGUUAAGUCCCGCAACGAGCGCAACCCUUGUUACUAGUUGCCAGCAUUAAGUUGGGCACUCUAGUGAGACUGCCGGUGACAAACCGGAGGAAGGUGGGGACGACGUCAGAUCAUCAUGCCCCUUAUGACCUGGGCUACACACGUGCUACAAUGGACGGUACAACGAGUCGCGAACUCGCGAGGGCAAGCAAAUCUCUUAAAACCGUUCUCAGUUCGGACUGCAGGCUGCAACUCGCCUGCACGAAGUCGGAAUCGCUAGUAAUCGCGGAUCAGCAUGCCGCGGUGAAUACGUUCCCGGGCCUUGUACACACCGCCCGUCACACCAUGAGAGUUUGUAACACCCAAAGUCGGUGGGGUAACCUUUUAGGAGCCAGCCGCCUAAGGUGGGACAGAUGAUUAGGGUGAAGUCGUAACAAGGUAGCCGUAGGAGAACCUGCGGCUGGAUCACCUCCUUUCUA
rnacentral:rRNA from 1 species